GAUGAACGCUGGCGGCGUGCCUAAUACAUGCAAGUCGAGCGAACAGACGAGGAGCUUGCUCCUCUGACGUUAGCGGCGGACGGGUGAGUAACACGUGGAUAACCUACCUAUAAGACUGGGAUAACUUCGGGAAACCGGAGCUAAUACCGGAUAACAUGUUGAACCGCAUGGUUCAAAAGUGAAAGACGGUCUUGCUGUCACUUAUAGAUGGAUCCGCGCUGCAUUAGCUAGUUGGUAAGGUAACGGCUUACCAAGGCAACGAUGCGUAGCCGACCUGAGAGGGUGAUCGGCCACACUGGAACUGAGACACGGUCCAGACUCCUACGGGAGGCAGCAGUAGGGAAUCUUCCGCAAUGGGCGAAAGCCUGACGGAGCAACGCCGCGUGAGUGAAGAAGGUCUUCGGAUCGUAAAACUCUGUUAUUAGGGAAGAACAAAUGUGUAAGUAACUAUGCACGUCUUGACGGUACCUAAUCAGAAAGCCACGGCUAACUACGUG
rnacentral:rRNA from 1 species